GCAAACUUGGUCAUUUAGAGGAAGUAAAAGUCGUAACAAGGUUUCCGUAGGUGAACCUGCGGAAGGAUCAUUGUCGAAUAACAAACCGGGGGGCGUGCUCUGGUCUUGCACCGGUGGCAACACCGUGUCUUGCAGACCUUUGCAUGUUUCCCAUCCACACCCAAACCCCUGUGCACCUUUGGGAGAGGUGAGGGUCGAAAGGCCCUUGCCAAUCCCGUUUUCACAAACCCUUAAGUUUUUUUGAAUGUCUGGCAGUGCAUGCUGUCCUAAAAACAAAUGACAACUUUCAACAACGGAUCUCUUGGCUCUCGCAUCGAUGAAGAACGCAGC
rnacentral:misc_RNA from 1 species